AGCCAUAGGACAUGACCCCGUUUGUCUGAGUCUUCCCGAUCCAGCGAAUAAGGGGUUUCCUUGAACCCGCUGGGUACAAGGGCUGAAGGAACACUAACUCACCCCAAUAUGCCUAGCAUUGUGGGUUACACAAACGGGGUCGGCCAAUAUACGAUUAAUACUAAACUCGGUAAAACUAACACAAGGUUCCUAGUAUUAAUCAUCACACAAUCAACACAUUCCACCUCAAACAUGCCUA
rnacentral:lncRNA from 1 species